rnacentral:rRNA from 1 species
AACGAACGCUGGCGGCAGGCCUAACACAUGCAAGUCGAACGCUCGUAGCAAUACGAGAGUGGCAGACGGGUGAGUAACACGUGGGAACCUUCCCUAUGGUUCGGAAUAGCUCAGGGAAACUUGGGGUAAUACCGGAUAAGCCCUUCGGGGAAAGGAUUUAUCGCCAUUGGAUGGGCCCGCGUCGGAUUAGCUAGUUGGUGAGGUAACGGCUCACCAAGGCAACGAUCCGUAGCUGGUCUGAGAGGAUGAUCAGCCACACUGGGACUGAGACACGGCCCAGACUCCUACGGGAGGCAGCAGUGGGGAAUAAUUGGACAAUGGGCGGCAAGCCUGAUCCAGCCAUGCCGCGUGAGUGACGAAGGUCUUCGGAUUGUAAAACUCUUUUGGCGGGGACGA